rnacentral:rRNA from 1 species
UACGUAGGGGGCUAGCGUUGUCCGGAAUCAUUGGGCGUAAAGAGCGUGUAGGCGGUCCGGUAAGUCCGUUGUGAAAGUCAGGGGCUCAACCCUUGAAUGCCGGCGGAUACUGUCGGGCUAGAGUCCGGAAGAGGCAAGUGGAAUUCCCGGUGUAGCGGUGAAAUGCGCAGAUAUCGGGAGGAACACCUAUGGCGAAGGCGGCUCGCUGGACCGGUUCUGACGCUGAGGCGCGAAAGCGUGGGGAGCAAACGGG